UAAAAAGUCCUUUUCAGGACUACCAAAUUUUAAAAUGCUUAUUACCU
rfam:Acyrthosiphon pisum strain LSR1 Contig34309, whole genome shotgun sequence.